UAGCAUUAAAUCAAAAGUUAAAAUAUAUAAAUAUAACAUGAACUACAUGUUGAUCAUAUCAACAUGUUUCUAUACUAUAUCUAAUGUAUGUAUUAAACAAUAGAUCAGAUCUAUUACCUUGCAAGUUAGACGUUCUAACCUCACUUAUCCAGGCUUGAGGAUGAUGUUGCAAGCCACACACGCGUCCGGCUUCUAGGAGUCGUCCACACGAGCUCACGAAUCU
rnacentral:lncRNA from 1 species